rnacentral:sRNA from 1 species
UACAUGGUGCUGUUGCUAUUAAUGCCGGC